UACAGAGGGGGCCAGCGUUAUUCGGAAUUAUUGGGCGUAAAGGGCGCGUAGGCGGCCAUGCGUGUCUUCCGUGAAAUCCCUCGGCUUAACCGGGGAACUGCAUCUGAUACUGGAUGGCUUGAGUUCGGGAGAGGGAUGCGGAAUUCCAGGUGUAGCGGUGAAAUGCGUAGAUAUCUGGAGGAACACCGGUGGCGAAGGCGGCAUCCUGGACCGACACUGACGCUGAGGAGCGAAAGCCAGGGGAGCAAACGGG
rnacentral:rRNA from 1 species